UAAUAAGCACAAAUUCCCGUUAGAA
rnacentral:rasiRNA from 1 species